GGGCUUGUGGUUUAGUGGUAUAAUACUCCCUUAGCAUAGGCGGAUGGCCUGUUCAGAGCAGCUUCCGUAUAAGCUUGGGAGUGGUCCGGGGUUCGAUUCCCCGCGAGUCCA